UUGUGCCCUCAGCGCAGUCGUCAGCUUACUGAAUUCCUACAACCGCCUCCCCUCCAAUGGUGCGCAGAAAAAAUCUUGCACACCUUCCCUUGAGGAAGGGAAAUGUCUGCUCACACAAUUGAACCCUAGGAAGAAGAUGGAAAUAAUACCAGGAUUCAAAAUGCAAGGGGUGACUGAAAAAGGAGGCGCUCCUUUUCAUACAAGAGUUCCUGAAUUAACACAGGCUUGAUUUCCUCUUACAUGACAGACGGCUUCCAUACUGUGGCUCAGCCUCUCAUUCCAUCUGAGUCACAUGUGCGAUUAUCUAAGCACUCCUGAAGCUGCCCAUGGCCCCACACAACUCAUCAGAACUUCAUGUGGAAUAGCAAGGAGUAGAUACACCAUCUCAUCUGAACGAAUGAAAAACAGGCAAAAUCUAUGAAACAACGCUCAAGGGAGAAGAAACAAAGAAGGUAAGCCCACAGUUGCACUGUUUACUGUCAGGCCACGAAGUAAGGAAAGGAAUCUUGGAGUCUCUAAGGGAAGGAUAAACCAACUAAACUAUUUUCUUUUAUAUAUAAACUCAAAUGCUUUUCUAAUUUGUCAUUUUCCAAAUAUUUCACUCUUAAUUUUUAUCAGACAUCCCCACCUUUCUUGGUUUAUUAUUAACAUGCAUUGAAUUAGGAAACCCAGGCUUUGCUAUGAUCACUAGGAGAUGUCUAAUAACUAACUAAAAUAUGAAAUACUUAAAAGCAAAGUUAAUGGAAGCAUAAAGCCAUGAAAUAUAGCACCUAAUUUUUAAAACAAAGUUUCUUCACAGCUUUAUUAACUAACAUUGCUUGAAAUAAGCUAUUUAAAUACAGUAUUUUUAAAUAAAAAAUGCACAGAAAAUGGGCCACGUGGGUGGCUCAGUCAGUUGAGUGUCUGACUCUUGAUUUUGGCUCAGGUCCUGAUGUCACAGUUGUGGGAUCAAGCCCCGCAUUGGGCUCCUGACUGAGUGUGGAGCCUGCUUCAGAUUUUUUUUCUCUCUCUCUCUGCCUCUCUCUCUCUCUCUGUCUCUCUCU